UACGUAGGGGGCGAGCGUUGUCCGGAAUUAUUGGGCGUAAAGAGCUCGUCGGCGGCCUGUCGCGUCAAUUGUGAAAGCCCGGGACUCAACCCCGGGUCUGCAGUCGAUACGGGCAGGCUAGAGUGCGGUAGGGGAGAUCGGAAUUCCUGGUGUAGCGGUGAAAUGCGCAGAUAUCAGGAGGAACACCGGUGGCGAAGGCGGAUCUCUGGGCCGACACUGACGCUGAGGAGCGAAAGCGUGGGGAGCGAACAGG
rnacentral:rRNA from 1 species